rfam:Triticum urartu cultivar G1812 contig380415, whole genome shotgun sequence.
GAACUACUCCCUCCAUUCGGAAUUACUUGUCGUAGAAAUGGAUGUAUCUAGACGUAUUUUAGUUCUAGAUACAUCCAUUUCCGAGACAAGUAAUUCCGAACGGAGGGAGUACUAG